rnacentral:rRNA from 1 species
CACGUAGGCGGCAGGGUAAGUCAAAGGUGAAAGCCCUCGGCUCAACCGAGGAACUGCCUUUGAAACUGCUUUGCUUGAGUCCGGGAGGGGGGAGCGGAAUUCCCAGUGUAGCGGUGAAAUGCGUAGAUACUGGGAGGAACACCGGUGGCGAAGGCGGCUCCCUGGACCGGUACUGACGCUGAGGUGCGAAAGCGUGGGUAGCAAACA